rnacentral:rRNA from 1 species
AGAGUUUGAUUAUGGCUCAGGAUGAACGCUAGCGGCAGGCUUAACACAUGCAAGUCGAGGGGCAGCGCGGGGUAGCAAUACCCUGGCGGCGACCGGCGCACGGGUGCGUAACGCGUAUGCAACCUACCUGUGACGAGGGGAUAACGGUGCGAAAGCGCCACUAAUACCCCAUAUUGACGGGGUCCCGCAGUGGGGUUCCGAACGAAAGCUUUCUGUGGUCACGGAGUGGGCAUGCGUGGCAUUAGGUAGUUGGCGGGUAACGGCCCACCAGCCGACGAUGCCUAGGGGGCUGAGAGGCCUGACCCCCACACUGGUACUGAGACACGGACCAGACUCCUACGGGAGGCAGCAGUGAGGAAUAUUGGUCAAUGGGCGGAAGCCUGAACCAGCCAUGCCGCGUGAGGGAUGGAGGCCCUAUGGGUUGUAAACCUCUUUUAGCCGGGAGUAAUAAGGGCGGUGCGCCGUCCGAUGAGAGUACCGGCGGAAUAAGCAUCGGCUAACUCCGUGCCAGCAGCGGC